rnacentral:rRNA from 1 species
CCUACGGGAGGCAGCAGUGGGGAAUCUUGCGCAAUGGGCGAAAGCCUGACGCAGCAACGCCGCGUGCGGGAAGAAGGCUUUCGGGCUGUAAACCGCUUUCAGCAGGAACGAAAAUGACGGUACUGCAGAAGA